GCACAGACAUAACAGGCCACCAGGUGCAGA
rnacentral:piRNA from 1 species